CUACACAUGUACAUAUUUAUUUGUGUAACAGGAUUAGGUGAUUGACAGCAGUGUUUGCCUAUCAGUGAAUAGUACCUCCUAUUUAAAGGCCGAUUGGCUGUUACCUGGGAUGCGUCACGUCCGUUUUCCCCCUUUGUUUUGGCUGUGUUGACGGUGGCUGUGGAGUGCAGUUUUUAUGGUCCGGUGCUGCUUUCCUUUUUGUGCUGCUUAGUGGGUUUGAUGACUGUUUGCCUCUCAGCGGUGGGUAUGACUGUAACAAGCCCGUGCCUAUGAAGCAUUUUGUUCGGCGUGAUAUCCUGAUGGAUUCUCCCUCUCGUUCUAUGCUGUGAUUUGUUUGCUGCCGUGAUCGUUUUAUGCCGUGAUUGUUUGCUGCCGUGAGCUCUUGCUGCUGUCUUCGCGCUGUUAAAAGAGCGGCUGUCCAUACAGCCGCGCCGACGAAGUCAUCAACGUUUAUUAAAGGGGACUGCUGGUUUGAUUCUAUUACGUGCCUUUCUAGUGCCCUGCUUCAUGUUUUGGUUUAUUUCAUUAUUAGUUACCAUGGUUAAAUCAUUUAACCUUUUUCUUUUUCUUUAAGUUUGUGGAUAUUUGUUUGAUUGUAUUGCUUUGAUUUUUCUUUUUUUGUGAAACUAUAAUCUGUCGACAUGUGCAUGUUUAAUCUAUGAAUGCAAUUCAAAUCGUAUGGUGAUUUACUGUAUAGAAGUUGGUGUUUGUAACAAUUUCAGGUGAUUAACUAUCUGAUUUUCUGGUUACAUUGUUGCUUCUCCUCACUUCUGUUGGUUGAUACCACUUAUGUGAGGAGUUGCUGCAUUGAUGUUCAUAUUGCCAUUUCUGUCCAGUUUAUUUUCAAAGUUAUUUAUUUUCUUUUUGAUUUAUUGCAGGAGCUGGGGUCCCACGGGUGGUUUGCUCUCCCUCCUUGUGGUGGUGGUUCUCCUUCAUCGUGUGCGGUGUACACCUUGAGUGUUUGAUAGUGUGAUUAGAGUGCACGGGUGUGUGUGCGCGUGGAAGUGUGCUCUUGUGAAACCAAACUCUGCAUUGAUCCCAGCCGUUGGGAGCCUCAGCCCCUGCUGGUAUUACUGUUUUUGUUUUACAUAUACAUACACAUAUACAAAUACAUACUACCUCAAGUUGGUUUUGUUAUCUUUUUCUCUUUUUGUAAUUUGUGUUCUUGUGUUUGAAGUGGGGUUUCAUGUAUUUUUCUGUGAUUCAUUGUUUUGUAUUUUAAUUAACUUUUGUAUUAAUAAACAUUUUGUAUUUUUUUUAUACUUGCGUCUCUGGCCUAAUUUUGAGGGAACCGAACCUGUGUGCUCUAUUAUCCAAUUUGAUUGGUUUGAGUAUUUUCCCUGGGGUUAAUCCUUAGGGUGGCGUAGUCUGACUUUAUUUCUGGUGAACAAAACCUUGGGCUUGUGUCUCAAAAUUACACCGCCCCGCCACAUUCUGGCGUAGU